rnacentral:rRNA from 1 species
AUAAGAGGUCCCGCCUGCCCAGUGACUUUAAGUUUAACGGCCGCGGUAUUUUGACCGUGCAAAGGUAGCGCAAUCACUUGUCCUUUAAAUGAAGACCUGUAUGAAUGGCACCACGAGGGCUCAACUGUCUCCUUUCUCCUGUCAAUGAAAUUGAUCUCCCCGUGCAGAAGCGGGGAUAAAACCAUAAGACGAGAAGACCCUAUGGAGCUUUAGGCACCAGAACAGACUAUGUUAAGCACCCUAAACACAAAAGACAAAACUAACUAGACCCUAUUCCAAUGCCUUUGGUUGGGGCGACCGCGGGGAAAUAAAAAACCCCCAUGUGGACCAAGAGCACAUCACUCUUACAACCCAGGGCUACAACCCUAAGUAACAGAACUUUCUGACCAGAAUGAUCCGGUAAAACCGAUCAACGAACCGAGUUACCCUAGGGAUAACAGCGCAAUCCCCUUCUAGAGCCCAUAUCGACAAGGGGGUUUACGACCUCGAUGUUGGAUCAGGACAUCCUACUGGUGCAGCCGCUAUUAAGGGUUCGUUGUGUUCAACGAU